rnacentral:rRNA from 1 species
UUUAUUUAUUUAUUAUUUUAUUUAUAAUUUUGUUUUUUAUUUUUUAUUUUUAUUUAAUAUAUAUUAUUUUUAUUAGAAAUAUUAUUUAUUUAAAUUUUUAUAAUAUUUUAUAGUUUAUUAUUUUUAGUGUUACAAAAAUUGAAAUAAUUAUUUUAUUUAUAUUUUUAAUUUAAUAUAAAUUUUAGGAAUUAUUUUAUUAAUUGUUUUAUUGUUUAAUUAAUAUAUAUACUAAUUUUAAAAUAAUUUAGAAAUUAAAUUUAACUAAUUAUAAAUAUAUUUUUGUAUUUUAAAUUUAAUUUAUAUUUUUAUUGGUUUAAUUUUAUUAAAUGUAUUUAAUAUUUUAUUAAUAAUUUAGUAUAGAAGUAUUAAGUUUGAAAUAUUUAAUUUAAGUUAAUUUUAAUUUAUUUAAAUUUAUAUUAUUUUUAGAAAAAUAUUUUUUUUUAUUAAGAUUUAUUUUUAUAUUAAUUUUUUUAUUUUAUUCAACAAAAAUUGUUUAAUAAAAUUUUUUAUUUUAUAUUUAUAAUUUUUUAAUUAGUAAAUUAGUUUAAUUUUUAUUUAUUAACUUUACAAAAUGAAUUUUUUGAUUGUUUAUUAAAAACGUAUUAUUAAGAAUUUAUUUAAUAUUUAUUCUGCUCAAUGAUUUUUUAAAUAGCUGCAAUAUUUUGAUUGUACAAAGGUAGCAAAAUAAUUUGUGUUUUAAUUAAAUACUUGAAUGAAAGAAUAUACAUAAUAAUUAUUUUAUUAAUAUAAUAUAUUGAAUUUUAAAUUAAAUUGAAAAUUAUUUAAUUUUUAUAAAAGACGAAAAGACCCUAAAAAUUUUAAAUAUUAUUUUGUUUUUUUAUUUAGUUUUUUUAUUUGGGGUAAAUUUAUAUUAUAUUUAUAUUUUUAUAUUUAACUAAAUUUAUAGUUUUUAUUAAAUAAUAUAUUUAUAUUAAUUACUUUAGGGAUAACAGGAUAAUAAAAUUUUAUAGAUUAAAUUUAAUUUUUUGUUUGUUACCUCGAUGUUGAAUUAAUUUAUACUUAAUUAAAUAUAAAUAAUUAUGUCUUAGUUUGUUCAACUAUUUAAAAUUACUUGAUUUGAGUUUAAACCGAUGUAAGUUAGGUUGGAUUUUAUCUUUAUUUAUUUUUAAUAUUUUUUAGUACGAAAGGAUUUAAAAUUAUUUU